rnacentral:rRNA from 1 species
CGGGACACGUGGUAUCCUGUCUGAAUAUGGGGGGACCAUCCUCCAAGGCUAAAUACUCCUGACUGACCGAUAGUGAACCAGUACCGUGAGGGAAAGGCGAAAAGAACCCCGGCGAGGGGAGUGAAAAAGAACCUGAAACCGUGUACGUACAAGCAGUGGGAGCACAGAGCAAUCUGUGUGACUGCGUACCUUUUGUAUAAUGGGUCAGCGACUUAUAUUCUGUAGCAAGGUUAACCGAAUAGGGGAGCCGAAGGGAAACCGAGUCUUAACUGGGCGUUAAGUUGCAGGGUAUAGACCCGAAACCCGGUGAUCUAGCCAUGGGCAGGUUGAAGGUUGGGUAACACUAACUGGAGGACCGAACCGACUAAUGUUGAAAAAUUAGCGGAUGACUUGUGGCUGGGGGUGAAAGGCCAAUCAAACCGGGAGAUAGCUGGUUCUCCCCGAAAGCUAUUUAGGUAGCGCCUCGUGAAUUCAUCUCCGGGGGUAGAGCACUGUUUCGGCAAGGGGGUCAUCCCGACUUACCAACCCGAUGCAAACUACGAAUACCGGAGAAUGUUAUCACGGGAGACACACGGCGGGUGCUAACGUCCGUCGUGAAGAGGGAAACAACCCAGACCGCCAGCUAAGGUCCCAAAGUCAUGGUUAAGUGGGAAACGAUGUGGGAAGGCCCAGACAGCCAGGAUGUUGGCUUAGAAGCAGCCAUCAUUUAAAGAAAGCGUAAUAGCUCACUGGUCGAGUCGGCCUGCGCGGAAGAUGUAACGGGGCUAAACCAUGCACCGAAGCUGCGGCAGCGACGCUGAUGCGUUGUUGGGUAGGGGAGCGUUCUGUAAGCCUGCGAAGGUGUGCUGUGAGGCAUGCUGGAGGUAUCAGAAGUGCGAAUGCUGACAUAAGUAACGAUAAAGCGGGUGAAAAGCCCGCUCGCCGGAAGACCAAGGGUUCCUGUCCAACGUUAAUCGGGGCAGGGUGAGUCGACCCCUAAGGCGAGGCCGAAAGGCGUAGUCGAUGGGAAACAGGUUAAUAUUCCUGUACUUGGUGUUACUGCGAAGGGGGGACGGAGAAGGCUAUGUUGGCCGGGCGACGGUUGUCCCGGUUUAAGCGUGUAGGCUGGUUUUCCAGGCAAAUCCGGAAAAUCAAGGCUGAGGCGUGAUGACGAGGCACUACGGUGCUGAAGCAACAAAUGCCCUGCUUCCAGGAAAAGCCUCUAAGCAUCAGGUAACAUCAAAUCGUACCCCAAACCGACACAGGUGGUCAGGUAGAGAAUACCAAGGCGCUUGAGAGAACUCGGGUGAAGGAACUAGGCAAAAUGGUGCCGUAACUUCGGGAGAAGGCACGCUGAUAUGUAGGUGAAGUCCCUCGCGGAUGGAGCUGAAAUCAGUCGAAGAUACCAGCUGGCUGCAACUGUUUAUUAAAAACACAGCACUGUGCAAACACGAAAGUGGACGUAUACGGUGUGACGCCUGCCCGGUGCCGGAAGGUUAAUUGAUGGGGUCAGCGCAAGCGAAGCUCUUGAUCGAAGCCCCGGUAAACGGCGGCCGUAACUAUAACGGUCCUAAGGUAGCGAAAUUCCUUGUCGGGUAAGUUCCGACCUGCACGAAUGGCGUAAUGAUGGCCAGGCUGUCUCCACCCGAGACUCAGUGAAAUUGAACUCGCUGUGAAGAUGCAGUGUACCCGCGGCAAGACGGAAAGACCCCGUGAACCUUUACUAUAGCUUGACACUGAACAUUGAGCCUUGAUGUGUAGGAUAGGUGGGAGGCUUUGAAGUGUGGACGCCAGUCUGCAUGGAGCCGACCUUGAAAUACCACCCUUUAA